rnacentral:pre_miRNA from 1 species
CGUAAGUACAGUUUUGCACUAUUUAUAUUUCACGUUUUGAUCGCUGUCUUAUUUAAAAACAUAUAUGAUUAGUACUUUUAUUAUUAUUAGAUAAUAAAAUAUAGAUAGUAUUUUAUGUGUGACUAUUUUUUAAAUAUCUUAUAAAUUUCUUAAAUAAGACGAACAUUUAAACAUUGAACACAAAUCUAUAAAUACAAUUAUG